rnacentral:lncRNA from 1 species
AUGACCCACUACUGAAGUGCUAAUACAAUGGGCAAAUCUACCAACAGAAGAUACCACUUGGGAGAACUAUAACGACUUGAAGAUCAAAUUCUCAGAAUUCAUGAAUUGUCAACCUCGAGGACAAGGCUGAUUUGAAGAGGGCGGGUCUAUUAGGACUCUAGCUAAGAGAGUCCUAAUUGAGAGGGAUAUUAAUGUAAAACCUACCUAAGUUGACCCUUAUAAAAGUGGUGAAGAGAUCGGCUAGGGUUAGGAGAUUGUUUCUUAGAGAAGAAUUAGGAGUUGUAAAGGAAUAGGAGUCUUGA